ACGGAGGGUGCAAGCGUUAUCCGGAUUCACUGGGUUUAAAGGGUGCGUAGGUGGGUUGGUAAGUCAGUGGUGAAAUCUCCGAGCUUAACUUGGAAACUGCCAUUGAUACUAUCAGUCUUGAAUAUUGUGGAGGUUAGCGGAAUAUGUCAUGUAGCGGUGAAAUGCUUAGAUAUGACAUAGAACACCAAUUGCGAAGGCAGCUGGCUACACGGUCAUUGACACUGAGGCACGAAAGCGUGGGGAUCAAACAGGAUAGAUACCCUGGUAGUCCACGCCCUAAACGAUGGAUACUCGACAUCAGCGAUACACUGUUGGUGUCUGAGCGAAAGCAUUAAGUAUCCCACCUGGGAAGUACGACCGCAAGGUUG
rnacentral:rRNA from 1 species